AACGAACGCUGGCGGCAUGCCUAACACAUGCAAGUCGAACGAGACCUUCGGGUCUAGUGGCGCACGGGUGCGUAACGCGUGGGAACCUGCCCUUAGGUUCGGAAUAACUCCCCGAAAGGGGUGCUAAUACCGGAUAAUGUCUUCGGACCAAAGAUUUAUCGCCUUUGGAUGGGCCCGCGUUGGAUUAGCUAGUUGGUAGGGUAAAAGCCUACCAAGGCGACGAUCCAUAGCUGGUCUGAGAGGAUGAUCAGCCACACUGGGACUGAGACACGGCCCAGACUCCUACGGGAGGCAGCAGUGGGGAAUAUUGGACAAUGGGCGAGAGCCUGAUCCAGCAAUGCCGCGUGAGUGAUGAAGGCCUUAGGGUUGUAAAGCUCUUUUACCCGGGAUGAUAGUGACAGUACCGGGAGAAUAAGCACCGGCUAACUCCGUG
rnacentral:rRNA from 1 species